AAUACAGUAGCUGCUUUCAGUUCUCAUCUUCACUUUAAUAAAAAACAAAAAUGAUGAAAUGUAUUCUAAUCUUUAUGAUUUUGAUAACCAUAGUUGUUGCUGCUCCACCAAUGAUAAACGAGCAUUAUAUACCUCAACAAUCUAUCAAUCUUCUAGAGAUUCCCAUAUCACUUUUGCAAAGUCUUCAAAACUCAUUACGAGCUAUUCAAAUACCAAAAAUAACAUUAUAACUAUUAUCAAUGCUUAUCUUUAAAAUGCUUCCUUAGGUGAAUUGAACUGAAUUUUUGUUUGAAAUAAAAUUAU